UCAACCCACAGGAGAAUCAGG
rnacentral:piRNA from 1 species